rnacentral:rRNA from 1 species
AUUGAACGCUGGCGGCAUGCCUUACACAUGCAAGUCGAACGGCAGCGGACCUUCGGGUGCCGGCGAGUGGCGAACGGGUGAGUAAUAUAUCGGAACGUACCUUUCAGUGGGGGGAUAACGUAGCGAAAGUUACGCUAAUACCGCAUAUUCUGUGAGCAGGAAAGCAGGGGAUCGCAAGACCUUGCGCUGAUUGAGCGGCCGAUAUCAGAUUAGCUAGUUGGUGAGGUAAGGCUCACCAAGGCGACGAUCUGUAGCGGGGUCUGAGAGGAUGAUCCGCCACACUGGAACUGAGACACGGUCCAGACUCCUACGGGAGGCAGCAGUGGGGAAUAUUGGACAAUGGGCGCAAGCCUGGAUCCAGCAAUGCCGCGUGUGUGAAGAAGGCCUGCGGGUUGUAAAGCACUUUCAGUGGGAAGAACAGAUUCGGGUCAAUACCCCGGAGCCCUGACGUUACCCACAGAAGAAGCACCGGCUAACUCCGUCG